GAUGAACGCUGGCGGCGUGCUUAACACAUGCAAGUCGAACGGUGAAAGAGGAGCUUGCUCCUCUGGAUCAGUGGCGAACGGGUGAGUAACACGUGAGUAACCUGCCCUUGACUCUGGGAUAAGCACUGGAAACGGUGUCUAAUACCGGAUACGACCUCCGAAGGCAUCUUCUGGAAGUGGAAAGAAUUUCGGUCAAGGAUGGACUCGCGGCCUAUCAGCUAGUUGGGAGGUAACGGCCCACCAAGGCGACGACGGGUAGCCGGCCUGAGAGGGUGACCGGCCACACUGGGACUGAGACACGGCCCAGACUCCUACGGGAGGCAGCAGUGGGGAAUAUUGGACAAUGGGCGCAAGCCUGAUCCAGCCAUGCCGCGUGAGUGAUGAAGGCCCUAGGGUUGUAAAGCUCUUUUACCCGGGAAGAUAAUGACUGUACCGGAGAAUAACGCCCGGCUAACUUCGUGCCAGCCGCCGCAGUAA
rnacentral:rRNA from 1 species